GUUGCUGCAUUUCCAUUAGCACCACUUGAGGCAAUUCAGAAGAGGAUAAACUGUGCCAGUUUAAAAGGGAGCCAAACAGGGAACAAUAUCAUCGUGUAGCCAGGAUAUGCUGAGUGGAUGGCCUGCCACAGGAGAAACUCAGUUUUUGCUGUUGGAAAUGGAGAAGUGAAUAAAUCUCAAUCUUGACUAUGUACUUAUCUCAGUGCCAAGACCAGAGUGAAUGCUUGUUUACUUUCUUGAAUUAGUUACUGACUUUUGGGGAAAGAGGAUUCAGAGAGGGGUGAUGUGGGAAUGGUAUAAAUUGUCCUCUGUGAGACCUGCUUUCUGUGUGAUAUUCCCAGAUGGAAUUUGUUUACCGUACUCGAAGAAAAAUGACAGAUAUAAUAAAAAUAGACAAAGUAGCACUUCUUACACAUACACACAUCACUGUUUAGGCCAAAUUUAAUUUACAGACCCCAUUUAUGUAUGAAAGACCAUGUGAUUGCAACUCUCCAUGAUUGUGGAGUAACGUCCUCUUGCUCCAUAUAUGGUGGCAGGGACAUUCAGCUUUUCCCACUUUGGAGGGGAAGAUUCCUCUCCCAGCUUCUAUAGAAAGGAUGGGAAAAACAGAAAUAGCAUUAUCAAAUUUCCUUAUGCAGAUUUUUCCAACAUGAGCCUUCAUGCUUAUUGGGGAUUUGGGACUUAUAGUUUCCAUGCCUCCUGCCACUACAGAAAUAGAUAAGGCCUUUAAGUCCCUUGGUCACUAAUUGAAUAAAAGGAGACAAUACAGUUGUAUCAGUAGGAGAGUCAGAGGUCGUUGCCUGUAUCUUCGAAAUGUGUAUGUGGUUCCAGAAGCUCUACUAUUCAAAGGUAUUCAGGAUGGCCAAACUCUCCUUCAUUAGUCAAGGAGAACAGAAAUACCUGAUAUUACAUGGUGAGCACUCUAACCUGGAUGAAGAUGCAUAGGCGGGGGUAAGAAGGCCCAUUCUAUCUCCAUAAUUCCUCCUCUAUACCCCUAUAUGGCCAGGUUACAGAAAGAAAACAUUUCAAAAUGUCUUUUUAAGUAAUAUGAAAUAAAGGAUAUCUACUUGAUGCUACUGUUUCACUGCCUGGUUAAACAAAGAAAUUUAAAAGUAUGAACGUAUUUAUUUGAUUUCUGUUACAAGCAUAAC